GAGGUCGUGGCCGAGUGGUUAAGGCGUCCGACUUAAAAUCGGAUUCCCCGUAUGGGGAGCGUGGGUUCGAACCCCACCGACUUCG